rnacentral:rRNA from 1 species
AUUGAACGCUGGCGGCAGGCCUAACACAUGCAAGUCGAGCGGAUGAAGGGAGCUUGCUCCUGGAUUCCGCGGCGGGCGGGUGGGUGAUGCCUAGGAAUCUGCCUGGUAGUGGGGGCUAACGUCCGGAAACGGGCGCUAAUACCGCAUACGUCCUGAGGGAGAAAGUGGGGGAUCUUCGGACCUCACGCUAUCAGAUGAGCCUAGGUCGGAUUAGCUAGUUGGUGGGGUAAAGGCCUACCAAGGCGACGAUCCGUAACUGGUCUGCGAGGAUGAUCAGCCACACUGGAACUGAGACACGGUCCAGACUCCUACGGGAGGCAGCAGUGGGGAAUAUUGGACAAUGGGCGAAAGCCUGAUCCAGCCAUGCCGCGUGUGUGAAGAAGGUCUUCGGAUUGUAAAGCACUGUAAGUAGGGAGGAAGGGCAGUAAGUUAAUACCUGGCUGUUUUGACGUUACCAACAGAAUAAGCACCGGCUAACUUCGUG